UGAGAAUUCAUUUUGAAGUUUUUUUAUGGCAGCCAAAAGCUCCAGGUUUGAACCCUCCGCCACCUCCUUGCAACGAUUGCUAUAGGAAGGGACCAGAGCAGCAAAACUAUCAUCACUCUGAAAGCCAGGACCAUGAGGCUCCAACCAACCAAUAGACCAAUCAGCCUCAUCAGCAGAAUCAGGCAUUUGCAUGUCAUCACCACCGGAUGGUACCAUCACAAAAUCAUAUUCCCAAUCAAUCCUUGUUUCUUUCUUACUUUGCCAUUUCUG
rnacentral:misc_RNA from 1 species